rnacentral:SRP_RNA from 1 species
GGGCAGACCCCGACAACGCGGCGCCGUGAACCAUGUCAGGCGGGGAACCGAGCAGCAUUAAGCGAUUUGCCGCGUGUGUACGGCAAGCCUGUUCCCA